rnacentral:rRNA from 1 species
CGGCGUCGAGCGGCGGACGGGUGAGUAAUGCCUAGGAAAUUGCCCUGAUGUGGGGGAUAACCAUUGGAAACGAUGGCUAAUACCGCAUGAUGCCUACGGGCCAAAGAGGGGGACCUUCGGGCCUCUCGCGUCAGGAUAUGCCUAGGUGGGAUUAGCUAGUUGGUGAGGUAAGGGCUCACCAAGGCGACGAUCCCUAGCUGGUCUGAGAGGAUGAUCAGCCACACUGGAACUGAGACACGGUCCAGACUCCUACGGGAGGCAGCAGUGGGGAAUAUUGCACAAUGGGCGCAAGCCUGAUGCAGCCAUGCCGCGUGUGUGAAGAAGGCCUUCGGGUUGUAAAGCACUUUCAGUCGUGAGGAAGGUAGUGUAGUUAAUAGCUGCAUUAUUUGACGUUAGCGACAGAAGAAGCACCGGCUAACUCCGUGCCAGCAGCCGCGGUAAUACGGAGGGUGCGAGCGUUAAUCGGAAUUACUGGGCGUAAAGCGCAUGCAGGUGGUUUGUUAAGUCAGAUGUGAAAGCCCGGGGCUCAACCUCGGAAUUGCAUUUGAAACUGGCAGACUAGAGUACUGUAGAGGGGGGUAGAAUUUCAGGUGUAGCGGUGAAAUGCGUAGAGAUCUGAAGGAAUACCGGUGGCGAAGGCGGCCCCCUGGACAGAUACUGACACUCAGAUGCGAAAGCGUGGGGAGCAAACAGGAUUAGAUACCCUGGUAGUCCACGCCGUAAACGAUGUCUACUUGGAGGUUGUGGCCUUGAGCCGUGGCUUUCGGAGCUAACGCGUUAAGUAGACCGCCUGGGGAGUACGGUCGCAAGAUUAAAACUCAAAUGAAUUGACGGGGGCCCGCACAAGCGGUGGAGCAUGUGGUUUAAUUCGAUGCAACGCGAAGAACCUUACCUACUCUUGACAUCCAGAGAACUUUCCAGAGAUGGAUUGGUGCCUUC